rnacentral:rRNA from 1 species
GAUGAACGCUGGCGGCGUGCCUAAUACAUGCAAGUCGAGCGAACAGACGAGGAGCUUGCUCCUCUGACGUUAGCGGCGGACGGGUGAGUAACACGUGGAUAACCUACCUAUAAGACUGGGAUAACUUCGGGAAACCGGAGCUAAUACCGGAUAAUAUAUUGAACCGCAUGGUUCAAUAGUGAAAGACGGUUUUGCUGUCACUUAUAGAUGGAUCCGCGCCGCAUUAGCUAGUUGGUAAGGUAACGGCUUACCAAGGCAACGAUGCGUAGCCGACCUGAGAGGGUGAUCGGCUACACUGGAACUGAGACACGGUCCAGACUCCUACGGGAGGCAGCAGUAGGGAAUCUUCCGCAAUGGGCGAAAGCCUGACGGGGCAACGCCGCGUGAGUGAUGAAGGUCUUCGGAUCGUAAAACUCUGUUAUUAGGGAAGAACAAAUGUGUAAGUAACUAUGCACGUCUUGACGGUACCUAAUCAGAAAGCCACGGCUAACUACGUG